rnacentral:rRNA from 1 species
UACGGAGGGUGCAAACGUUGCUCGGAAUUAUUGGGCGUAAAGCGCACGUAGGCGGUCGACUACGUCCGGUGUGAAAGCCUCGGGCUCAACCCGAGAAGUGCACAGGAAACGGGGCGACUGGAGUACGGAAGAGGGUCUCGGAAUUCCCGGUGUAGAGGUGAAAUUCGUAGAUAUCGGGAGGAACACCAGUGGCGAAGGCGGAGACCUGGGCCGAUACUGACGCUGAGGUGCGAAAGCGUGGGGAGCAAACAGG